AAUUUUUUUAAAAUUAUUUCUCUGUAUAUGAAGAACGUAGCAAAAUGCGAUACUUGGUGUGAAUUGCAGAAUCCCGUGAACCAUCGAGUCUUUGAACGCAAGUUGCGCCCCAAGCCUUCUGGCCGAGGGCAAUGCAACAAUGCAA
rnacentral:rRNA from 2 species